GAAAGAUGGCUUUGGCUAUCACUCUGGGAUGGACCUGCGGUGCAUUAGCUAGUUGGUAAGGUAACGGCUUACCAAGGCGAUGAUGCAUAGCCGAGUUGAGAGACUGAUCGGCCACAAUGGAACUGAGACACGGUCCAUACUCCUACGGGAGGCAGCAGUAGGGAAUCUUCCACAAUGGGCGCAAGCCUGAUGGAGCAACACCGCGUGAGUGAAGAAGGGUUUCGGCUCGUAAAGCUCUGUUGUUGGAGAAGAACGUGCGUGAGAGUAACUGUUCACGCAGUGACGGUAUCCAACCAGAAAGUCACGGCUAACUACGUGCCAGCAGCCGCGGUAAUACGUAGGUGGCAAGCGUUAUCCGGAUUUAUUGGGCGUAAAGCGAGCGCAGGCGGUUGCUUAGGUCUGAUGUGAAAGCCUUCGGCUUAACCGAAGAAGUGCAUCGGAAACCGGGCGACUUGAGUGCAGAAGAGGACAGUGGAACUCCAUGUGUAGCGGUGGAAUGCGUAGAUAUAUGGAAGAGCACCAGUGGCGAAGGCGGCUGUCUGGUCUGCAACUGACGCUGAGGCUCGAAAGCAUGGGUAGCGAACAGGAUUAGAUACCCUGGUAGUCCAUGCCGUAAACGAUGAGUGCUAGGUGUUGGAGGGUUUCCGCCCUUCA
rnacentral:rRNA from 1 species